GCGGACCGGGCUCAAUGUGGGUGGAGUCAAACGCACUUAACCCGAACCCUUCCGGUCUCCUUCAAGGUCACCCAAGUUAAGGUAAAUGUCGAAGGUAUCAACGUCAACGAAAGCGAAUCUUAAUCGAACCUAACCUAUAUGGAUAAAAAUAUAAACCAUGGAAAAACAUUGCUCGGAUCUUGUUCCCUGGACCUUGGAGGACUUUUGGUGUGGAUGAUGUUCAGUACGCCCUGUACAUUGCAAUGGAAGCACAGUGUGAUUUCACUAAGGAAAACAUGCAGCAAAUUAGGCGAUGGUGGUGCCUAGUUCUCUUGCAGGACUUUCCCAUGCCGUCUGAAGAAGAGAGGUUGAAAGAUCGAAAAAGGAAGCAGCUGUUCUUCUAAGGGACACCCUAGAGGCAACAAGGUGGUGCGAACUCCAAACAUUUAAAGGCACUGUUUCCCUCCCUAGUGUAAUUGGGAUGGACGGGGAAGACCGCAUUACAAUCCUUAAAGAACUACGGUUGUAUGAUGGCCUGGAUGAAGAGGAAAAUAUUCUCCUCAAGGAACCAUUCAUGUUACAGAGAAAUUAUGAGAUGUUCUAUGUGGAGGCAGUUGACAACAAGAAAAUGACUGUCUGCCUCUUGAGGAGCAGGAGAGAAGCCAUUUUUGAGGAGUGGUCAAACCUUGGUUUUGUCUGCUGUGUUAAUUGUUUCAAUUGUUAAUUGUGUUGUUUAGUAAAGAUGACGUAAAGUCA